GCUGGCGGCGUGCUUAACACAUGCAAGUCAAGGGGGCCCAGCAAUGGGCAACCGGCGAACGGGUGCGUAACACGUGAGCAACCUACCGAACUGUGGGGGAUAGCCGGCCUAACGGCCGAGUAAUACCGCAUACGCUUUCAGUGAGGCAUUUCAUUGAAAGGAAACCUACGGGACAGAUCGAGGGGCUCGCGGCCUAUCAGCUAGUUGGCGAGGUAACGGCUCACCAAGGCGACGACGGGUAGCUGGUCUGAGAGGAUGGCCAGCCACAUUGGGACUGAGAUACGGCCCAGACUCCUACGGGAGGCAGCAGUGGGGAAUCUUGCGCAAUGGCCUAACGGCUGACGCAGCGACGCCGCGUGUGGGAUGAAGCUCCUCGGAGUGUAAACCACUGUUGCCCGGGACGAAUAGCUCGAUUAAUCGAGCCUGACGGUACCGGGUGAGGAAGCACCGGCUAACUCCGUGCCAGCAGCCGCGGUAAUACGGGGGGUGCGAGCGUUGUCCGGAAUCACUGGGCGUAAAGGGCGCGUAGGUGGUUUGAUAAGGGUGUGGUGAAAGCCC
rnacentral:rRNA from 1 species